GGGACACGUGAAACCCUGUGGGAAGCAGGAGGGACCACCCUCCAAGGCUAAAUACUACCGAGUGGCCGAUAGCGUAUAGUACCGUGAGGGAAAGGUGAAAAGAACCCCGGGAGGGGAGUGAAAUAGAGCCUGAAACCCUGCACUUACAAGCUGUGGAAGCACAUUUCUUGUGUGACCGCGUACUUUUUGUAGAACGGGCCAACGAGUUACGUUAAGUAGCAAGGUUAAGCACUUAAGGUG
rnacentral:rRNA from 1 species